AAGCUCUGGUUUUUCUUAAGUCAUGCAUAAAUCUUUUGUUUUUUGCUAAAGAUUUUUGUGGUGAGGAUCAUCAAUGAGUUUUAUGUAUGUUUAUGAGCUUUGCUCUGGUAAAGC